rnacentral:rRNA from 1 species
UACAGAGGUGGCAAGCGUUGUUCGGAAUUACUGGGCGUAAAGGGCGCGUAGGCGGCCUGCUAAGUCGAACGUGAAAUCCCCGAGCUCAACUCGGGAACUGCGUCCGAUACUGACAGGCUUGAAUCCGGGAGAGGGAUGCGGAAUUCCAGGUGUAGCGGUGAAAUGCGUAGAUAUCUGGAGGAACACCGGUGGCGAAGGCGGCAUCCUGGACCGGCAUUGACGCUGAGGCGCGAAAGCCAGGGGAGCGAACGGG